UAAAAUUUUGUCAAAAUUUUUAUAUGUCGAGCCUUUUUAACUGUAAAAAUCGGUAACCAAAAAAAGAAGAAAAAUCGACCCCAUAGUAUUUUUGUAAGACGGAAUGUGGAAUGCACUUAAUGUCUUCAAGCAAAAAAAAAAAAAUGCACAUGAAACGUAUACUGUAAUUAUUUAGACCGGUUCGGAUUGGUUUACUAUGUAAAUAUUAUACAAAUCUAUAUUGAGUUGGCAUGACAUUAUUAUGGCUUGUUCGGUGGACGAUUAAGUUGGCAUUUUUGUAUUCAUGUUCAGUUUUUUUGUAAUAUCAGUAAUAUUUAUCAAUGGCAGACGGUACCGGCUUCUCAUCCCAAGACGAGGCUGUGGAUUGCGUCAAAUUUAAUUCUAUAUAAGCAUGGCACAACCAAAAAAAAAAAACGAUUUACUUAGUUCACCUUUAAAUUCAUGAACUUAUAUCCUAAUCACAACAUAUGCAAUGUAGAAAUCCAGGGACGGUACCAGCUUUUUCAAGCCCAAGUUAUGCUGUGGAUCGCGUCAAAUUUAAUUCUAUAUAAGCAUGGCACAACAAAAAAAAAAAAAAAAAAAAAAACACGAUUUACUUAGUUCACCUACAAUUUCAUCAACUUUAAUCAUAAUUAUCACAACAAAUGCAAUGUAGAAAUCCAGGAACGGUACCAGCUUCUUCUAGCCCAAGUUAUGCUGUGGAUCGCGUCACAAUUAACACUUAUUAAGUUCACUAUUAAUUAAAAAAAAAUAAAAAUGCAGUAUGGCGCAAA